ACGCUCCAAGAAAGCAGGGAAAUGCAUUUUCAUCUGUGCCAGUAAGGCAUAUUUCGUGAAAAUUAAAAUAAAUAACAGGACAUUGAGAAAAUUACGACAGUUUUAGAAGCAAUUAAAAACAGAGCAGCGUGAUCUCCAGCUUUAGGGAACGAUCUACAGGUGCUUGGACAUCGAGGAAAAGUAACAGACGUUAGUGACC